CGCGGGGUGGAGCAGUCUGGUAGCUCGUCGGGCUCAUAACCCGAAGGUCAUAGGUUCAAAUCCUGUCUCCGCAA
rnacentral:tRNA from 1 species